rnacentral:rRNA from 1 species
CAUGGCUCAGGAUGAACGCUAGCUACAGGCUUAACACAUGCAAGUCGAGGGGAAACGAUAUUGGAAGCUUGCUUCCGAUAGGCGUCGACCGGCGCACGGGUGAGUAACGCGUAUCCAACCUGCCCACCACUUGGGGAUAACCUUGCGAAAGUAAGACUAAUACCCAAUGAUAUCUCUAGAAGACAUCUGAAAGGGAUUAAAGAUUUAUCGGUGAUGGAUGGGGAUGCGUCUGAUUAGCUUGUUGGCGGGGUAACGGCCCACCAAGGCUACGAUCAGUAGGGGUUCUGAGAGGAAGGUCCCCCACAUUGGAACUGAGACACGGUCCAAACUCCUACGGGAGGCAGCAGUGAGGAAUAUUGGUCAAUGGACGAGAGUCUGAACCAGCCAAGUAGCGUGCAGGAUGACGGCCCUAUGGGUUGUAAACUGCUUUUAUAAGGGAAUAAAGUGAGCCUCGUGAGGCUUUUUGCAUGUACCUUAUGAAUAAGGACCGGCUAAUUCCGUGCCAGCAGCCGCGGUAAUACGGAAGGUCCGGGCGUUAUCCGGAUUUAUUGGGUUUAAAGGGAGCGUAGGCCGGAGAUUAAGCGUGUUGUGAAAUGUAGAUGCUCAACAUCUGCACUGCAGCGCGAACUGGUUUCCUUGAGUACGCACAAAGUGGGCGGAAUUCGUGGUGUAGCGGUGAAAUGCUUAGGUAUCACGAAGAACUCCGAUUGCGAAGGCAGCUCACUGGAGCGCAACUGACGCUGAAGCUCGAAAGUGCGGGUAUCGAACAGGAUUAGAUACCCUGGUAGUCCGCACGGUAAACGAUGGAUGCCCGCUGUUGGUCUGAAUAGGUCAGCGGCCAAGCGAAAGCAUUAAGCAUCCCACCUGGGGAGUACGCCGGCAACGGUGCAACUCAAAGGAAUUGACGG